AUGAUUUCUCUCCUUUCUUUUUACAGUGAGUGAAAGAUGGAGAAAAAAAUUGCUAAUUGAAAAAAUUAAAUUCAAUUAACAGGGAUCUAAUACAGAGGCUGUCAAAUUUAGAAAGAUAGCUCUAUAACUAGAUGAAUGGAUAGAGUGCUUAUUAAAUACUUACUAUGUGCUAAGCAUAGUGUUAAGGUUUGGGAAUCCAAAUAUGUGAAAACAAGACUGUCUUUACUUGUAAGAAGAUUUUAUCCUGAGACCAAAAAAGAAUACUUACAGGGGAAUUGAAAAGGAGAUUGGGGCAAACUAUAGAUGAAGAAGAGAUGGCAAAGGCUAAAGAAUGAAAGAACUGGAGUCCUUUCUAAUGAAGCUUACCACCAUACAUGGACCCAAUCUGCAAAUCUUGAUUCUUGAAGAUAAUGGGGAGGAUGAAAGGAGGUAAAAGAAUAAAGUAAAUAAAUUGUGCAACAGAGAACCAAAGAACAAUUUAUAAAGAAGUAAAGAAAAAAUGGACAUUCAUGAAUAUAAUUUCUUCUACUAACACACACACACACACACAC